GACGAACGCUGGCGGCGUGCCUAAUACAUGCCAGUAGAACGCACAGUUUAUACCGUAGCUUGCUACACCAUAGACUGUGAGUUGCGAACGGGUGAGUAACGCGUAGGUAACCUGCCUGGUAGCGGGGGAUAACUAUUGGAAACGAUAGCUAAUACCGCAUAAUAUUAAUUAUUGCAUGAUAAUUAAUUUAAAGGUGCAAUUGCACCACUACCAGAUGGACCUGCGUUGUAUUAGCUAGUAGGUGAGGUAACGGCUCACCUAUGCGGCGAUACAUAGCCGACCGUAGAGGGUGAUCGGCCAAAAUGGGACUGAGACACGGCCCAGACUCCUACGGGAGGCAGCAGUAGGGAAUCUUAGGCAAUGGACGAAAGUCUGACCGAGCAACGCCGGGUGAGUGAAGAAGGGUUUCGGAUCGUAAAGCUCUGUUGUAAGAGAAGAACGGGUGUGAGAGUGGAAAGUUCACACUGUGACGGUAUCUUACCAGAAAGGGACGGCUAACUACGUG
rnacentral:rRNA from 1 species